rnacentral:rRNA from 1 species
AAUUCUCCUACGGGAGGCANCAGUGGGGAAUAUUGGACAAGGGGGCACCCUGAUCCAGCCAUGCCGCGUGAGUGAAGAAGGCCUUCGGGUUGUAAAGCUCUUUCAGAUGCGAAGAUGAUGACGGUAACAUCAGAAGAAGCCCCGGCUAAUUUCGUGCCAGCAGCCGCGGUAAUACGAAAGGGGCUAGCGUUGUUCGGAUUUACUGGGCGUAAAGGGCACGCAGGCGGUCUUGCCAGUCAGGGGUGAAAGCCCGGGGCUCAACCUCGGAACUGCCUCUGAUACUGUAAGACUUGAGACUAGGAGAGGGUGGUGGAAUUCCCAGUGUAGAGGUGAAAUUCGUAGAUAUUGGGAGGAACACCAGAGGCGAAGGCGGCCACCUGGACUAGAUCUGACGCUCAGGUGCGAAAGCGUGGGGAGCAAACAGGAUUAGAUACCCUGGUAGUCCACGCCGUAAACGAUGAGUGCUAGUUGUCGGGACUUCGGUUUCGGUGACGCAGCUAACGCAUUAAGCAUCCGCCUGGGGAGUACGGUCGCAAGAUUAAAACUCAAGAANUUUGACGGA